rnacentral:misc_RNA from 1 species
CCAAUCCUCAUCUCAUCUCUGUAUUUUAUUCUCUCUACCCACCUCCCUUCACCUCUUCUUCUCUUUUCAUCUCUUCAUCUCUGCGUUCUACCAAGCACCUUAGCCCUCAACACCGCAGGCCACAACACGUUAGGGGCACGACAACGCAGGCUGCAGCACCGCAGGUCAUAGCUCCACAGUGCCGCAAGCCGUAGCAACCCAACCGUAGCACAGCAAACCUUUCUUCAAUGUUCACCUAGCUAGCCACCUUUCUUCUUUUAUUUUUUCAUUUAUUUCCUGCCAUUUUUGUCAUUACUCUAGUCAUCUUGCUUGUUUGGAUGAUAGUGGUUUUGAGUUAAUGGAAAUUUUAUUCAUCAUUUUUGUAUUGAUGAAAAUAUUUUGUUGUUA